UGAUGAUAUUCUCUUUGAUCCACACAGUGGUGACAACUAUGAAAGGGAUGAGGAUCAUUUCGCAUUCAUGAUGGAGCUUCUUGGAGUGAUGCCUCGCAAGAAUGCAUUAGGUGGUUGCUAUUCAAGGGACUAC